AACGAACGCUGGCGGCAGGCUUAACACAUGCAAGUCGAGCGCCCCGCAAGGGGAGCGGCAGACGGGUGAGUAACACGUGGGAACCUACCUGAAGGUACGGAACAACUCCGGGAAACUGGAGCUAAUACCGUAUGUGCCCGAAAGGGGAAAGAUUCAUCGCCUUCAGAUGGGCCCGCGUCAGAUUAGCUAGUUGGUGAGGUAACGGCUCACCAAGGCGACGAUCUGUAGCUGGUCUGAGAGGAUGAUCAGCCACACUGGGACUGAGACACGGCCCAGACUCCUACGGGAGGCAGCAGUGGGGAAUAUUGGACAAUGGGCGCAAGCCUGAUCCAGCCAUGCUGCGUGAGUGAUGACGGCCUUAGGGUUGUAAAGCUCUUUCGACGGGGACGAUAAUGACGGUACCCGUAGAAGAAGCCCCGGCUAACUUCGUGCCAGCCGCCGCGGUAAAAC
rnacentral:rRNA from 1 species